rnacentral:lncRNA from 1 species
CGUGCUGGAAAGAAAAAUCCCCAGUGACUUCACCCAGCUUGGCUUGUGGUGGUUACUCACAAUGAGGUAACUUUUUUUCUUUUUUUUUUUUUUCUUUUUCUUUUUUUUUUUAAGGUCUGCAUGCUUAAUGCUACAUCUGAGUUUUUGCAUAUGAGUGAAACUGCAGCUCAGGGACUGAUUUCAGGGAGUUUUCUCUGCAGAGUAAUUUUGGUGAGUAAACACAGAUAAGAGGAAGCUGGGUUAAUCCAAUAACUCCUCCCUCAAGGGCAGGUGCAGCAAUGUGGCUCAAGGUACAGAACAGAGGAAAUGCCUUGUUGACACAGGUGAUCAGAGCAAAGUGGCCAAAAUUGAUAGAAUGAUAUGAGUUUGCAAUGCAAAGCCCCGUUUUCUCAAGGCUACUAUUUGCAGCCCUCCACAGCACAUCUCUGGUCUUUCACCUCCCUUUGGUGAGGCAUCCUGUUGUGGGUGACUUCUGAGCUCCUCUUCAUGAUCUCUCAGUAGCUGCAUUGCUACAGUGUAGCUUGGACUGCGUUGUGUUAACCUGAGAGGAUUAUUAAAAUAAACUCUGAGUCAUAUUUGAGCUGUUCUUGUCCUGAUCUCUCUCCAGCCUUUCCACUGCUAUUACAGCUCUGGUAUCCUGUAGCAAGUAAGAACAUAACAUUACAACUGUUCACACGUGGGAGAUGGAGGAACUGCAUUAAGAGCCCAUCAGAUAGGAAGACUUGGUGUGAGAACCAUAUGGAAGGGAAGAAGUAUCCUAGACCCAAGAUGCAAGUUUAUGGAUUGCAAGACAGGAGGCCCAACACUGAAACAGCAUCUAACAAAAUGGAUGUGAUUGCAUGUGAAGCUACUUCAGAAUGAAGCUCAUGGUCCUGGAUCUCUUUCGUGAAUAUAUG